rnacentral:lncRNA from 1 species
GUUUUGUUUUGUUUUUUUUUCUCAUUUCUUUUUUUUUUUCUUGUUUGAUUUUGAAAUCUUGCUUCCCUAGGACAGAAUCCAUAGCCAGAGUUUUCUUUGCAUGCUUUUGUCUUCUAGAGGGCAUAUUAGACGGAGAACUUUCCAUGUUUCAGACAGCGCUAGCUUGCUCGCUUGUCACAGUGUGUCAGCGCUCCACACAGUGUGCCUUUGACGUCAAAGUUCCCUCCCAAUUCCUUGACCUUUUCCAUUUUGUUUGAGAUCUUCUUAAUUACUCUUCCCUGACAGCUUCCCUCUUCCAUUAAGUGCUUACAACGUCAUAUAGCACAGGUUUGACCUCAUGUAGAGCUGUGUGUGUACAGUGGGCCUUUUCCACUUAAGAUCCAGUGGAGAGGAAGUCUUAUACUUAAUGUAAUGGAUAAAAAUAGACAAACAACUCUCGCUUAUCCAAAUGAGAAUGAGACCAGCCAUCAGAAUACAGGCCGCUGCUUUAUUGGGGAAUAGCAACUCGUGUACCUUUCCUCUUCUGACAGAAUCGCCUUUUAAGCUGGAGCUCCUAGUGAGUCAAAGCAUGGUUUUGGGCCACACUCUCCACUGUCUUCAUGAUACAUGAGAGAUGCACAGCUUGUGCUUAUGUUAAGCAUUCUUUCCAACUGCUACCUGCUACUUUCUACCGUUUAGAUCCGUCGAGAUUGCAAGUGGCAAGGAGUAGAGGGCAAAAUUUAUGGGACGGCUUAUGGACUGACUGAGUAAUAGAUACAUUCAUUUUAAUAAGUGUUUACAAAAAUCUUCUGUGCCAGCACCGUCUUAGGGGCGGGAGACACAAACACGAAUAGAUGCUGCUCUCGCCUGAAGGGAACGUGCAGGUUAGUUGGAUAAAUACAACCCCGGAUGCUGUAUUUACACACUUACUAAGCCAGCAUAGACGAUAGACCAGAGCAUAACGGAGCAACUAUGGUGUGGGGAAGGUAGGAACAGCAAGCUGGGCACGGGAGGUGGAGCUUGCUCAAGAGCUUCCCUGAAGCCAGUAGCUGGUAGGCGUUAGAAUCAGGGAACCAGCUUCAGUUUUACUGAGUGAGAGAGGGCUCGGAAAGGACUGUCUAUUCAAUGGAGAGUUAAUAUUUAAAGUUCACCGUGAGCAAAUCUCUCCUGAAUAGAUUUUGAUUUUUCUUUCAUGAAUGUUCUUGUAUGCAUGUUUGUGUGUAGGUACACAUGUGUGCAUGUCCACACAGAGGGUGGAGGACAUUUUGGUCAUUACACCAGGAACACAGUCUUCUUCAUUGAAAUUGCCUCUCAUUGGCAUGGAGCAGGCUAGGCCAGCUGCUGAGGUCUUUGUCCUUUCAAGGCAGGUGCCUUAUCCACUGAGCAUCACUCUUUCUAUACCCUGCCCCCUCCAAAACAACAACAACAACAACAACAACAACAACAACAACAACAACAACAACAACAACAGGUCUGAUCUCGUUUCUUGAGACUUUGCUUUCAGUAAUUUUUUUGUUAGAAAUUCUGCUUGACCAUCAGUGUUCCGUUAUGGUGGUUGGUUCCCCCAGCCCUGUGUUGGGUAUACUGCAGUAUCACAGACUCCCUGGGAUUGCAGAGGCCAGCAUUCCUUUCGCAGUAGUGUGCCAGCUGCAAAAACACCUACCCCUGUCACCAGGACCUCCCUGCAACUGUACAAAGGGGGUGUGUUUAUCCAGUCUGUGGUCUGAUACCCCAGCUCUUCUGCAUUAGGCUUCCAGUCCCCCUGCAGAGGCUGUCACGAGGCACUGGCUGUGUAGAAUCCCAGCCUUAGGAGAAGAAAUGUUGAUCUUUGUUAUCUCAGGCAUUGUUAGAUCCAGCUCCCACAAUAAUUAGGACACACAGCAUGUAAUUAUGACAGUUCUGGGCUGUCUGGCUUGAGAGACACUUCACAAUCGAAUUAGCCAAAGGCAACAGUAGUCUACAGUAGCCUGCAAAUAAAGCAGCUGAGCUGCCUUCAAAAGUAGUGGCUGAAGGAAACCCACUGGCAUGACUGGGCCGCAGAGGCAGGCUGGGAUCCUCUGACAGUUCUAGCAUCACCACUGCAGCUCACGGCUGACUUUGUCUGAUCCCAUUUCAUUAGGCAGAAAGGAUUCAUGUCUGUCUUGUUCAAGCCGUGGCCCACAUCUAUGGUUGCAUACAGGAAAUCUUUUUGAACGGAUAAAGGAUGAAAGAAAUAAACAAAUUGUAUCAAUUUAAAACAGAGUUUGAAAAAACUGGCCACUUUUUUAAUAUGCCGUAAGCCUUUAAAAAUAAAAUCCUUUAUUUUAUUUAUUGUUUUUGAACAUGCAUGCUUGUGCGUGUGUACACACGUGUAUGGACGUUGGAGGACUUCUGUGGAGUCAGCUCCUCCUUCCAUCUUUCUGUGGGUACAGGACUUGGACUCAGGUUGUUAGGUUUCGGUGGCAAGCGCCCUUCCCUGCUGCACCACCUCACUGGUCCCUUUCCUCUUCCUAAAACUUCAUCUACUUUAUUAAUGUUAUAAUGUCUGUGCAUUUCUUUUGGUAAUAGUU